rnacentral:lncRNA from 1 species
CUACUGACUAACCAUCUAAUCUGUGAGCCUUGCUGUGCUUUAGUUUCCUGUCUGUGACAUGGGGGCAAUAGUACUCAUAUAUCAUGAGGACUAGACAAGUUAGUGUAUGCAGAGCUCUUAGAACAUAGGAAGUGCUCAAUAUGUGUAUGUUGCUAUUGUUAUCAGGGUCACGUGGACACAACGCUAACUAGGAUUCUAGUCCCAGCUGGCCACAAGCUCUCAGACAUGGAACCAAUUACAAAGUUCCCCUGUGCCAAUUUCCUCUGUAGGAUAAGACAGUCUGUACCUCACAAAGUGCAUUCUGCCAAAAAUACCCUUUGACCUCUUCCUGGAAAGUGGGCAGGGAAGGUCUCGGCACCCCCUCCUUUCAAUAGUGAGGCGAGAGGCACCGUCAGGGGAGCAGGGAGGAGACUGCCCCGAGCUCUCCAUACCGGGAGGCCCCACCUGCGCCUGCCCCUGACUCCCCAAAUCUUGUAGUCAUACCCCCAGUUUAAUUACCAGAUUUUCUGCCUGU